GCCUCCGUAGCUCAGUGGCAGUAGCAGCUACCUCGUAAGUAGCAGGUCCGCGGUUCGAUCCGCGCGGAGGCU
rnacentral:tRNA from 1 species